rnacentral:rRNA from 1 species
GUGAACCGGGAAGAGCUCAAAUUUUGAAUCUGGCGGUCUUUUCGGCCGUCCGAGUUGUAAUCUAGAGAAGCGUCUUCCGCGCUGGACCGUGUAUAAGUUUCCUGGAAUGGAACGUCGUAGAGGGUGAGAAUCCCGUCUUUGACACGGACUACCAGGGCUAUGUGAUGCGCUCUCGACGAGUCGAGUUGUUUGGGAAUGCAGCUCAAAUAGGGUGGUAAAUUCCAUCUAAAGCUAAAUACAGGCGAGAGACCGAUAGCGAACAAGUACCGUGAGGGAAAGAUGAAAAGAACUUUGGAAAGAGAGUUAAACAGUACGUGAAAUUGCUGAAAGGGAAACGCUUGAUGUCAGUCGCGUCGGCCGGGGAUCAGCCUUGCUCUUUUGCUCGGUGUACUUCCUGGUCGACGGGUCAGCAUCAGUUUCGACCGUCGGAAAAUGGCUCGAGGAAUGUGGCACUCUUCGGGGUGUGUUAUAGACUCGGGUCGAAUACGAUGAUCGGGACUGAGGAACUCAGUACGACCUUCGGGUUCGGGGCUUCGGCUCACGUUAACGUGCUUAGGAUGCUGGCAUAAUGGCCUUAAGCGACCCGUCUUGAAACACGGACCAAGGAGUCUAACUCGCAUGCGAGUGUUUGGGCGAUUAAAACCCGAGCGCGUAAUGAAAGUGAAAGUCGAGACCUCUGUCGU